UACGUAGGGGGCAAGCGUUGUCCGGAUUCAUUGGGCGUAAAGAGCUCGUAGGCGGCUUAGCAAGUCGGGUGUGAAAACUCCAGGCUCAACCUGGAGACGCCACCCGAUACUGCUAUGGCUAGAGUCCGGUAGGGGACCACGGAAUUCCUGGUGUAGCGGUGAAAUGCGCAGAUAUCAGGAGGAACACCGGUGGCGAAGGCGGUGGUCUGGGCCGAAACUGACGCUGAGGAGCGAAGGCUAGGGGAGCGAACGGG
rnacentral:rRNA from 1 species